CACAUGGCUGAAAUACACUGAUUAAACACAGGAACUGAUUGAAUGAUUAUCAAGACACACCUGAACUCAAACUCUAAUCAAAUCAGAAAUCAUGAUACAAACAGGCAGAGGACAGAACUAAAACACAGAACAAGAAAACCAACCUAGAAUCAAACGAUGAACAGAAACAGAUCAAAAACAAACUCUAAACAUGAACAACUCAAAACGUGACAAAUAUAAUGUUUCUUAAAUGUUUCACACAAAACACAGCAGAGAAAACAAGAGAAAACAGUGAGUGUGAUUGGCUCUUUCUACAGUUCCUCAAGUGUGAAAUAUAGACAUGAUGUUCUCAGAGAGGAGGGACUCAGAGUUCACAGAUCUGACAUGAUCUAAUCGUGUCUGAAAGAGACUGUGGAUGAAACGAUUCAGUCUGACUCUUCUCAGAGUGAACACUUGAACAAUGAAUCUUCAUUCACUUAUUCUGCUCUGUGUCUCAGCUGCUGCUGUCUUUGGAAAUACCAUCAAACCAGACACAACAGAUGUUGGUGCUGAUGAGGGACAAAAUGUUAAAUUGUCCUGUAGUUAUUCCUCUCCUGGAGGUUCAGAUAAUCUCUUCUGGUACUGUCAGUAUGGAAGAUCAAAACCUGAAUUUCUUGUUUCCACUUACAGUACUGCAACAGAUGCUAAAGAAUCGGAUGUAGAUUCAAGAUUUUCUGUUAAAGUCACAAAAAAGGAACAAAUCCACAUGGAUCUGAUCAUCUCCUCUGCUGCAGUAUCAGACUCUGCUCUGUAUUACUGUGCUCUGAGGCCCACAGUCACAGGAAACACAAGAACACUGUACAAAAACCUGUUACAAUGAGAGAAACACAGAGACAGAGAUGAAAAGGAAGCACAAAUAUGUAAUGAAUCUAAUGCAAAAAACACAAAGAAUUUGUGUGGCAGUAUGAAUGAUCCUUUAGUUCACCAGUCCCUUUAAAACAUCCCAUAAUUCAGAAAACAAUAUCUUUAUUCAUUUACAUUGAACUCUAUGAGAUGGCACUGUUUCAGUUAUGCAAUACUUGCAGUUAACCAUAGGAGGGCAGUAGUUACUCAACAUUUCCUUUGACAAUACUGAAGCUUUAUUGGGUAUCCACAAGCUCCUCCUUGGAUCAUCAUUAUUAUAAUACUAAAAGUAAAAUUCUCCCACUGCUGAUUUAUCUGAACUUCAAGGUUUAUUCAGCAGUCAUAUCACACAAGUUGAGGAAUAUAUUUCUCUUCACACUCUUCAUUCUUGGUAUGAAUUUUCAUUUAAUACAGCUUCAUAUUCAUGCAAGUUGGUCAUAUUUUGUAUCGUACUGUA